rnacentral:misc_RNA from 1 species
UCCGAGUUGACCCCGGCAGUCUCCUAUGAGUCCCCACCAUCCCGAAGGACGUGCUGGCAACAUAGGACGAGGGUUGCGCUCGUUGCGGGACUUAACCCAACAUUUCACAACACGAGCUGACGACAGCCAUGCAGCACCUCUCACUACAUUUCCUUGCGGACACUCCAGGAAUUACCCCGGAUUCGUAGGAGUUCAAGCCUAGGUAAGGUUCUGCGCGUUGCUUCGAAUUAAACCACAUAAUCCACCGCUUGUGCGGGCCCCCGUCAAUUUGUUUGAGUUUUAGUCUUGCGACCGUACUCCCCAGGCGGAGCACUUAAUGCGUUAGCUGCGUCACUGAGGGAGUCAAUACCCCCAAUAACUAGUGCUCAUCGUUUACGGCGUGGACUAC